AUACGUAGGGUGCAAGCGUUAAUCGGAAUUACUGGGCGUAAAGCGUGCGCAGGCGGUUUUGUAAGACAGUGGUGAAAUCCCCGGGCUCAACCUGGGAACUGCCAUUGUGACUGCAAGGCUGGAGUGCGGCAGAGGGGGAUGGAAUUCCGCGUGUAGCAGUGAAAUGCGUAGAUAUGCGGAGGAACACCGAUGGCGAAGGCAAUCCCCUGGGCCUGCACUGACGCUCAUGCACGAAAGCGUGGGGAGCAAACAGGAUUAGAUACCCUGGUAGUCCACGCCCUAAACGAUGUCAACUGGUUGUUGGGGAUUUAUUUUCUCAGUAACGAAGCUAAUGCGUGAAGUUGACCGCCUGGGGAGUACGGCCGCAAGGUUAAAACUCAAAGGAAUUGACGGGG
rnacentral:rRNA from 1 species